UCUCAAACCUUCAAUUCCGUAUUCGAUUUCAUCUUCGAUUUUGUAUUUUUUUUUUUUCAUCUUUGAUUUCGUAUUUGAUUUCAUCUAUGAUUUUUUAUUCGAUUUCAUCUUCAAUUCCAUAUUUGAAUUCAUCUUUUCAUAUUCAAUUCCAUCUUCCAUUUCAUAUUUGAUUUGAUCUUCGAUUAUGUAUUUGUUUUUAUUUUUCGUUUCACAUCUCCAUUAGCUAUCUUUGUUGAAGGUAUUUCCAUUGUUCUAAUGCCUUGCUUUUUUUUUUCUUUCACUUUUGUUUUUCCCGUUGUAAAAAUGGUUGAGAUGAAGUGUGAGUUUUGUGUUGUGUUGGUUAUUGUUUUCAUUUUGCUUUUGUUUUGAUUCAUGGUAGAAUGCUUGUUUUGUGUUCGAUAAAAUGCUUCAACUAAACUUUAUGACACAAUGCUUGUUUUGUGUUUGAUAAAAUGCCUCAAUCAACCUUUAUGGUACAAUGCUUGAUUUUUGUUUGAUAAAAUGCUUGAACCAAAUUUUUUUUACUUCUCGAAUAUUUGUAAUGUGAUUCUCCAGCAUCUAUGCUCUUUAAAUGUGUUUCAAUUCUGCAAAACGAACGGAAUUGUUUGUUCGGAAUGCAUUAAUUUUUAUCUUAGAGUGGGGAUGCUAGGUAUGCAGGGCAUGGCAACAAAUUUGUGAUGUUAGUGGGGCUGAGUUUGACAAGGUUAUCAAUGUAUUGGAGUUCAAUUGGAGGAAAUAGUAAGGGGUCUAGUUUCCUAUUUUUCAUUAUUUGUGGAUUUUAUCCAUGAUGCAUUUAAAAUUUUAUAUCUAGAACGUAAAUGAGCAAGACUACGGCCAUGAAGUAGCUGACAUCAUAAGGUUAGGCUUUAAUAUUUAAGUUGUUGACCUCGUUGCGGAUGUUGAGGUUGAGAGCAAGGGUAUCACAAAUGAGAAUGUCAAUGCAAGAUAGUGCUGUGUUUUGAUUGAUAUUCAUAUUCAUUCUUAUGUUUCUUAAUGUACAGCAAUGUUUCCUACACCGCAAACUGUCUUGCUCCCUGUGUGAAGAUCCUGGAUGAAAAAUUCGAAUCGUCCUUUGCAUUAAAUUGUUGCGCAAUACUGGUGAUGAGAUAAGGAAGGGAUGUCUGCAAUCUUGCAGGCAGAACAUUAUGAAGAUGAUUGCGGAUAAGCAACGCCACAAGACAAAGGAGAUUAAAGAGAAGGCUUGCAUUUCUCAUGUGCAGCUUGAUGACCUUAAAGAGAAGGGGGGAAAUUGUGUUGGAUGAAAACUUGUAAUCAUUUUUGUAUGUAAUUCAAAUUGUGUUGCAUAGUUUAUUUUCGUUAUGCAAUAAUAAGAACAGUGAAGGGCGGGAAUUUUAUAGAGUAUGUAAUUCAAAGUAGUUAUUAAAACUUGUAUUUAAUAUUGGUUAA